AUUAAAAUAUAUUUAGAAAUUAAUUAUAAGCAUCUCCGGUUAAAUCAAAACAUUAUUAGAUUUAGUAAAGGUGAUUAAAAAUUAUUAUAUAUAUAAUCAAAGUACUGUAAAGGAAUUAUGACAAUUAUAGUAAAGAAAAAAUUAAAUUUUGUACCUUUUGUAUCAUGGUUUAGCUAGAUUAUAUUGUUUAUACAAUUUCUCGAAAUUUAAUGAGCUAUUUUUAACCUUUAUAUUAGUAUUUAAAGAGUAAUUGUAGCAAAAAUUUUCUUAGAGUUAAAAAUAGAAAUGAAAUUUUAUUCGCAUUAAAUGAUAGCUAGUUCUUCUGAAAGGCAUAGAAGUGCUUUAAACUAAGUUUCUUUGAAUAUUAUUAUACGGACAAAAUUUAGUUUAGUUAAAUUCUCGAGGAUAAGCUCGAGAAUUAUAAAAAUUAUUACAUUUUAUUUAAAAUUAAAUCUAAGCUUGAAAAUAGCUAAUAUUUAUUAGAUUUUGUUAUAAUUUCAUUAUUUUAUUAAAAAUAUGAUUAAUUUGUUUGACAUUAAAAGAAGAAGCCUCAAAAAUUAUUAAUGAGGGAUAUUUAUGCUAAAAUGAGUAUUCUUUAAAAUUUGGUUACUUAGGAUAAAAAUAGUACUAAAAUCUAAUUUGCUAAGUGUUUUCAAAAUUAUAAAAAGGAACUCGGCAAAAUAAUAUUCUGCCUGUUUAUUAAAAACAUGGCUCCUUGUAUAAUAAAAAUAAGGAGUCGGACCUGCCCAGUGAAAUUUUCAACGGCCGCGGUACUCUGACCGUGCAAAGGUAGCAUAAUCAUUUGCCUUAUAAUUGAAGGCUAGUAUGAAUGGUUUGACAAGAAUAUUACUGUCUCUUUAUAAUUGAUUAGAAUUUUAUUUUAAGGUGAAGAAGCCUUAAUAAAAUUAAUAGACAAGAAGACCCUAUCGAGCUUAAAAGAACUUAAUGGAUUUUAUUAUAAUAUUAAAUAAAAAAUUAACUAUUAAAAAUUUUGGUUGGGGCGACUAAGGAACAUAAAAAGCUUCCUUUAAAUUAAAUUAUACACACAAGUUUUAGAUCCAAAAUUUUUGAUUAAAGGAAUUAGUUACCGUAGGGAUAACAGCAUUAUCUUUUUUGAGAGUUCUUAUCGAAAAAAAGGUUUGUGACCUCGAUGUUGGACCAGAAUAUCCUAAAGAUGCAGAAGUCUUUAAGGGUUGGUCUGUUCGACCAUUAAAAUUCUACGUGAUCUGAGUUUAGACCGGCGUGAGCCAGGUCAGUUUCUAUCUUUAAUUUUUUAGAUAGGCUUAGUACGAAAGGACCAGUUUAUUAUAAAUCUAUAUUAUAAAAGAAAAAAUAUAAUAGAAAUUUAAAUAACAAAGA
rnacentral:rRNA from 1 species